GGGAAUGUGGCUUAAUGUUAGAGUGCUUGCCUAGCAUGCAAGAAGCACUGGGUUCGAUUCCUCAGUUACCA
rnacentral:tRNA from 1 species